rnacentral:rRNA from 1 species
AGUGAACGCUGGCGGUAGGCCUAAUACAUGCAAGUCGAACGGCAGCGCAGAGGAGCUUGCUCCUUGGGUGGCGAGUGGCGGACGGGUGAGGAAUACAUCGGAAUCUACUCUGUCGUGGGGGAUAACGUAGGGAAACUUACGCUAAUACCGCAUACGACCUACGGGUGAAAGCAGGGGACCUUCGGGCCUUGCGCGAUUGAAUGAGCCGAUGUCGGAUUAGCUAGUUGGCGGGGUAAAGGCCCACCAAGGCGACGAUCCGUAGCUGGUCUGAGAGGAUGAUCAGCCACACUGGAACUGAGACACGGUCCAGACUCCUACGGGAGGCAGCAGUGGGGAAUAUUGGACAAUGGGCGCAAGCCUGAUCCAGCCAUACCGCGUGGGUGAAGAAGGCCUUCGGGUUGUAAGGCCCUUUUGUUGGGAAAGAAAUCCAGCUGGCUAAUACCCGGUUGGGAUGACGGUACCCAAAGAAUAAGCACCGGCUAACUUCGUGCCAGCCGCCGCAGUAA